CCUCUCCCUGUGCAGCAUCAGUACGAUGGGAUCCUGAGGCAGGACUAAAUACUGGAGUAUUUGAAAUGAAGGUGCAUGCUCACAGACUUCAGCUCUCCUUUUUCCUCCCAGGAUUUGACUGUUUUUCUAAACAUUCUGACUCAUGUGUGAGAAAGUGUUCAAGUUGUCCAAUCAAUUCUCAGGUUGCUAGAUAUCUCAGCAGCGCAGAUGGAUCUGCAUACUGAUGAAGACAUGGGGCAUCUAUGAAAAAUGCUGGAUCUGGCUGAGCUCCCUGCAGGCACAGGGUCUGCUUUCUCUUCUAUUAGAGCCCAACACAUGCACAUUUUUCAAAGCUUGGACAUGCAUGCCAGGUUUUGGUGCUGCUGUUGUGGCUUUACUUCUGCCUAAGAGCGAAGCCCAGUUUUCCACUUCAGC